rnacentral:rRNA from 1 species
CCUACGGGUGGCAGCAGUCGGGAAUAUUGCACAAUGGGGGAAACCCUGAUGCAGCAACGCCGCGUGGGGGAAGGAGGUUUUCGGAUUGUAAACCCCUUUUGUUAGGGAAGAAAAUGACGGUGUCUAAACAACAAGCACCAGCUAACUCCGUGCCAGCAGCCGCGGUAAUACGGAGGGUGCAAGCGUUACUCGGAAUCACUGGGCGUAAAGAGCGCGUAGGCGGGAUAGCAAGUCAGAUGUGAAAGCCUAGGGCUCAACCAGAGCACGGCAUAUGACACUGUUCGACUAGAGUAAUGGAGAGGGAGGCGGAAUUCUUGGUGUAGCAGUGAAAUCCGUAGAGAUCAAGAGGAACACUCGUGGCGAAGGCGACCUGCUGGAACAUAACUGACGCUGAGGCGCGAAGGCGUGGGGAGCAAACAGGAGUAGAUACCCUUGUAGUC